rnacentral:rRNA from 1 species
UACGUAGGGUGCGAGCGUUAAUCGGAAUUACUGGGCGUAAAGCGUGCGCAGACGGUUUUGUAAGCCGGAUGUGAAAUCCCCGGGCUUAACCUGGGAAUGGCAUUCGGGACUGCAAGGCUGGAGUGCGGCAGAGGAGACUGGAAUUCCUGGUGUAGCAGUGAAAUGCGUAGAUAUCAGGAGGAACACCGAUGGCGAAGGCAGGUCUCUGGGCUGACACUGACGCUCAUGCACGAAAGCGUGGGGAGCAAACAGG